GAAAAACAAGCAUCAAAUCAGAUAAUAAAUGUUUUCAGACGGGGACAGUGCGGGAAAUUAAUCCCAGUGUUAGGCUGUGCCUCAGCAUAACACACCCCUAUUAAGGAUUAAUAAGUGUGUAGGGGUUAAUAAGAAUACCCCUCUCUGUCUCAGAGAUUUUACCUUUUAUCUGAUAUCAGCAUUGUGAAUUGUUGGUGUAGGACUCAAGUAGUUUUGCCUUGACGUAGUGGGCCAGCUUACACUUAAACGACUACUGAAGUGAUACUAAAAACCUUCCAGUUAUUUAAAUGUGCAGAUAACGUUUUUGCUGUUGUAUCUGAGCUGAUGUAUACGGUAGCCAUUUCUGCCGCCCGGGAGUAGUAGGAGUUUGAGAACAGACUUAUUGUGUGAGUUUAUAACACACCCCUUGC